CCAACGGUCCUUUUCAGGGCCACAAUUUAUUGUUGACAAACAAUUU
rfam:Trichinella pseudospiralis scaffold92s, whole genome shotgun sequence.